rnacentral:rRNA from 1 species
GGAUAUUGGGCAAUGGAGGCAACUCUGACCCAGCCACGCCGCGUGGAGGAUGAAGGUGCUAUGCAUCGUAAACUUCUUUUGUCAAGGGAGAAAGUGCGUGAUUUUUCACGUUUUGACGGUACUUGGCGAAUAAGCAUCGGCUAACUACGUGCCAGCAGCCGCGGUAAUACGUAGGAUGCAAGCGUUAUCCGGAAUCACUGGGUUUAAAGGGUCUGUAGGCGGUUUAAUAAGUCAGUGGUGAAAUAUCUGG